rnacentral:rRNA from 1 species
CGGUGAACUCCUUCGGGGGGGAUCAGUGGCGAACGGGUGAGUAACACGUGGGCAACCUGCCCCUGGCUCUGGGAUAACUCCAAGAAAUUGGGGCUAAUACCGGAUAUGACCGCUGACCGCAUGGUCUGGUGGUGGAAAGAUUUAUCGGCUGGGGAUGGGCCCGCGGCCUAUCAGCUUGUUGGUGGGGUAGUGGCCUACCAAGGCGACGACGGGUAGCCGGCCUGAGAGGGUGACCGGCCACACUGGGACUGAGACACGGCCCAGACUCCUACGGGAGGCAGCAGUGGGGAAUAUUGCGCAAUGGGCGAAAGCCUGACGCAGCGACGCCGCGUGGGGGAUGACGGCCUUCGGGUUGUAAACCUCUUUCAGCAGGGACGAAGCGCAAGUGACGGUACCUGCAGAAGAAGCACCGGCCAACUACGUGCCAGCAGCCGCGGUAAUACGUAGGGUGCAAGCGUUGUCCGGAAUUAUUGGGCGUAAAGAGCUCGUAGGCGGUUCGUCGCGUCGGCUGUGAAAACCCGGAGCUCAACUCCGGGCCUGCAGUCGAUACGGGCGGACUUGAGUUCGGCAGGGGAGACUGGAAUUCCUGGUGUAGCGGUGAAAUGCGCAGAUAUCAGGAGGAACACCGGUGGCGAAGGCGGGUCUCUGGGCCGAAACUGACGCUGAGGAGCGAAAGCGUGGGGAGCGAACAGGAUUAGAUACCCUGGUAGUCCACGCCGUAAACGUUGGGCGCUAGGUGUGGGGGCCAUUCCACGGUCUCCGUGCCGCAGCUAACGCAUUAAGCGCCCCGCCUGGGGAGUAC